CAUUGUACUCGGCCUGUCAUCC
rnacentral:siRNA from 1 species